AUGGCAAUACUGAUAUCGUUUUAUUAUUUUAUUAUUUUUCGUGAUUUAUAACUUGUUGUUUUUAAAAUGGUUUCAGGCUAUUUGCAAGUAAAUUACGUUAUUAUUUGAUGACGCCAUCUUAAAUUUCCGUCCUCAUUAUGUUUUUUGUACUUUAUUUCCGUGUGGAAAUUGAUUGUGGUAUGGUAUAAAAGGGGUCCGAAGUUGUGCGUCGAUUGGAUGAAAACAUGGCGUGAAAAGUGCGACAUCACGCCGCGUGACUUACCCCAUAAACCAGUCCACGGUGUCGCGGAGAUACUCCGGUAGGCGCUCCAGCUUGACGGCCUGUGUGUUCCGCCUGGAUACUUGUUGACAAACACAAUGCCCUGCGGCGGUGCGGGCCUCCUAGAACAACGGGUGCUAGACUCGCGCACUGCACAGCUGAUUCGCUUCAACUUUGAUUCGGUGCUACUGCGUGAGACACCAUCGGUAUUGGAUGGCGGUGCCUAGCAAGUCGGUCACGAUCGCUCAGCGACGACGCUGCUGCUAUCGAUAGCGACAUGCGAGCAUGUUCGCCGAGGACGCGCGACCGUCGGUGAUAAGGCGAGAUUCACUGGCGCGACGGCGAUUGAUUAUUCGGCGGACGGGCAUAGAGGAAGCCCGCUGCCAGUCAGCAAACACUCACUGCAACUUAUGUACACCACUUACACACGGAGUCGGGCUUCGAAAACAAUCGAGCACGCCGUUCGAGCGACAUCGACUGUCAAUUACCACAAGCUUCAGGUUUCUGCCACCAGGGGGCGCAAUGUAUACCAAAACUUGAAUAUUACUCACUUUAAAAGCUUUUUUGCUUUCUACACACACAAACGACUAAUAAGUAAAUAAAACAUAGCGACAAUAUUUAAUUUAAUUAGAUUUAAUAUUAAUUAGUCUUAAUCUUUGGCACGGCAGUGCGUUUAAAAGCCAUUGAAAGUCAGUUAUUAAGUUUUUAAAUUUCUGCCGCCAGAGGGCGCCGUCGGUAUCAAAAUCUAGAAUAUUUCACUUUCAAGAAGCCAUUUUUCUUUUGUUUUGUGCACACACACCAGCAACAUACAAGUGAGUCAAAUAAAAAUAAUUAUUUAAUUUAAUUAGGUUUAAUAAACUUUAAUCAUUGAGCACGACGCUCAACAAACAUUUUUGUCACAAUUAAGAGAUUUGCAUGCAGCAGAGUAGUAUUUAUAGAAGGACGUCGUGCGUAAUUCGAUUGGCACAAAUUUUUCUCAUUUAUAGUCGAUUACAAAAAGCGCGCAAUAUAAUAUCUGUACACAUUUAUAAAAUGUAGGUAAUUUGCAAUUACGAAGU